rnacentral:rRNA from 1 species
AACAGGAUUAGAUACCCUGGUAGUCCACGCCGUAAACGAUGUCGACUUGGAGGUUGUGCCCUUGGGGCGUGGCUUCCGGAGCUAACGCGUUAAGUCGACCGCCUGGGGAGUACGGCCGCAAGGUUAAAACUCAAAUGAAUUGACGGGGGCCCGCACAAGCGGUGGAGCAUGUGGUUUAAUUCGAUGCAACGCGAAGAACCUUACCUACUCUUGACAUCCAGAGAACUUAGCAGAGAUGCUUUGGUGCCUUCGGGAACUCUGAGACAGGUGCUGCAUGGCUGUCGUCAGCUCGUGUUGUGAAAUGUUGGGUUAAGUCCCGCAACGAGCGCAACCCUUAUCCUUUGUUGCCAGCGGUUAGGCCGGGAACUCAAAGGAGACUGCCAGUGAUAAACUGGAGGAAGGUGGGGAUGACGUCAAGUCAUCAUGGCCCUUACGAGUAGGGCUACACACGUGCUACAAUGGCGCAUACAAAGAGAAGCGACCUCGCGAGAGCAAGCGGACCUCAUAAAGUGCGUCGUAGUCCGGAUUGGAGUCUGCAACUCGACUCCAUGAAGUCGGAAUCGCUAGUAAUCGUGGAUCAGAAUGCCACGGUGAAUACGUUCCCGGGCCUUGUACACACCGCCCGUCACACCAUGGGAGUGGGUUGCAAAAGAAGUAGGUAGCUUAACCUUCGGGAGGGCGCUUACCACUUUGUGAUUCAUGACUGGGGUGAAGUCGUAACAAGGUAACC